AAUCAUUUCAAAUUUUAUUUAGCCUUUCCAUUUACCAGGCACUUCUAGAAUCUGGAGAUGUGAAAUUUACAGGUUCCUGGCCUUCAAUGAGCUUACAUUCUAAGCUUUCAAACCAGCUGCACUUGGAUAAACACUACUGGCCAAAUAGAGUAGUCCAUAUCUAAGAAGAUAUUCACCUGGCUCUUCAAAGUAGCCUCAGAUGGAUUCUGUAAUGUGUUUUCUUGCUAUGGAUUAUAAUCAUCAUUUUCUGUUAAUGGCCAAAUACGGGCUCUCCAGGGUCUUAAAUGCUUCUGCAUAGCCACUUCACAUCACAUGAUGUAGCAACUCCUCCUCACUUGAUAAAAGGAGGAGACAUAUGAAAUAGAUGACCUGGAUCACCAGCAUGUCACACACGGGCUCUUUGUAAACCAUUCAAGUAGCGAGAGGGAUUUGGCCGGCCAACCACCAUCUCUAUGGGAAACCACCAAGAUGCUGCUCACCCAGGGAGUCAUAGCCUAUGGAAAAGCACUAUACUGGUCAUUGAGUUUGCCCCCCACCAGCUUCCCCCCAGCACUUAAAAAAGAAAAAACACACGAUUUCUUUGUUGUUUUAAUCCAUAUGGGAAAGGCAGAAAUCAUGAAAUGACAGUGUGUAAAGUGGCCAGUACAGUCAGGGUCACUGGCCCGAAAGGCAUGAAUUCAGACCACCUGUGACUGUUAAUGAAAGAGAAGAUGUCUUCAUUCAGAGAUUACACAUGCCCGCAGUCCUGUUGGGGCUGAACUUUUUGCCUUCUAUGCAUUAUCUAUUUGAAAAGGCAACUUUUAGAAAUAUGCAUAUUAUAUUCAAGUGGACAAUUCAUUAUCAUUAUUACUCACAUUAAGAGCCAAUGUCCACAACAGGCCUCAUGUAGGCUAUGCAAUGCCAUUGUCCAUACAAGGAAAGAGAAAGUCCCUCAGAAGCUGAACUAAUGCCUCCCAGAAGGGAUUUCUCAAUGAGAAUGGGAGAUGUAUUGCUAAAGAAUAAA